rnacentral:rRNA from 1 species
UACGUAGGGAGCAAGCGUUGUCCGGAAUCAUUGGGCGUAAAGCGCGCGUAGGUGGCCUCAUAAGUCCGCUGUGAAAGUCAAAGGCUCAACCUUUGAAAGCCGGUGGAUACUGUGAGGCUAGAGUACGGAAGAGGCGAGUGGAAUUCCUGGUGUAGCGGUGGAAUGCGCAGAUAUCAGGAGGAACACCGAUGGCGAAGGCAGAUCUCUGGGCCGUAACUGACGCUGAGGAGCGAAAGCAUGGGGAGCGAACAGG